rnacentral:pre_miRNA from 1 species
UGUAUACUCCCUUUGUUUCGAAUUACUUGUUCCGGGUAUGAAUGUAUCUAGAUGUAUUUUAGUUCUAGAUACAUCCAUUUCUGCGACGAAUAAUUUAGAACGGAGGGAGUAGAUC